GACGAACGCUGGCGGUGUGCUUAACACAUGCAAGUCGAACGGUAAGGCCCUUUCUGGGGUACACGAGUGGCGAACGGGUGAGUAACACGUGUGUAACCUGCCCUCAUCUCUGGGAUAACCGUCGGAAACGGUUGCUAAUACUGGCUAUGAUCUUGCAAGGCAUCUUGUGGGUUGGUCAGAUUUUCUGGGUUGGGGUUUGACUCGCGGCCUAUCGGCUUGUUGGGGGGUGAGUGGCUCACCAAGGCUUCGUCGGGUAGACGGCCUGAGAGGGCGACCGGCCAUAUUGGGACUGAGAGACGGCCCAAACUCCGACGGGAGGCAGCAGUGGGGAAGAUUGCACAAUGGACGGCAGUUGUAUGAAGCAGCGCUGCGGGCGGGAUGACGGCCUUCGGGUUGUAAACCGCUUUCAAGUGUGACGAAGCUUUUUGUGACGGUAGCAGUAGAAGAAGCACCGGCUAACUACGUG
rnacentral:rRNA from 1 species